rnacentral:lncRNA from 1 species
CGUGCUCAUCUGACCCAGCUGCCUGCUGCCAGGGGCACCUGGCUGAGGGUGGCUGAAACGCUUGCUAACCCGAAGUGACAAGGGCCUGGUUCAGGCUCUACCAC